AAUCCAGACUCCUACGGGAGGCAGCAGUGAGGAAUAUUGGUCAAUGGCCGCAGGGCUGAACCAGCCAAGUCGCGUGAGGGAUGACGGUCCUAUGGAUUGUAAACCUCUUUUGUCAGGGAGCAAAGGGCGCCACGUGUGGCGUUUUGAGAGUACCCGAAGAAAAAGCAUCGGCUAACUCCGUGCCAGCAGCCGCGGUAAUACGGAGGAUGCGAGCGUUAUCCGGAUUUAUUGGGUUUAAAGGGUGCGUAGGCGGAACAUUAAGUCAGCGGUAAAAUCGAGGGGCUCAACCCCUUUAAGCCGUUGAAACUGAUGUUCUUGAGUGGGCGAGAAGUAUGCGGAAUGCGUGGUGUAGCGGUGAAAUGCAUAGAUAUCACGCAGAACUCCGAUUGCGAAGGCAGCAUACCGGCGCCCAACUGACGCUGAAGCACGAAAGCGUGGGUAUCGAACAGGAUUAGAUACCCCAGUAGG
rnacentral:rRNA from 1 species